UACGUAAGUGGCGAGCGUUGUCCGGAAUUACUGGGCGUAAAGGGCAGGUAGGCGGCUCGGAAAGUCUGAGGUGAAAUCCCAGGGCUUAACCCUGGAACAGCCUUGGAAACUCCCGAGCUGGAGGUCCAGAGGGGGAAGUGGAAUUUCAGGUGUAGCGGUGAAAUGCGUAGAUAUCUGAGAGAACACCAAUGGCGAAGGCAGCUUCCUGGCUGGAACCUGACGCUGAACUGCGAAAGCUAGGGGAGCGAACGGG
rnacentral:rRNA from 1 species